rnacentral:rRNA from 1 species
GACGAACCGUGCGAACGUUGUUCGGAAUCACUGGGCUUAAAGGGCGCGUAGGCGGGCUGUCAAGUCCGGGGUGGAAUCCUCCAGCUCAACUGGAGAAUGGCCUCGGAUACUGAUGGUCUCGAGGAGGAUAGGGGCACACGGAACUGUGGGUGGAGCGGUGAAAUGCGUUGAUAUCCACAGGAACUCCGGUGGCUAAAGCGGUGUGCUGGAUCCUUUCUGACGCUGAUGCGCGAAAGCCAGGGGAGCAAACGGG